rnacentral:rRNA from 1 species
GAUGAACGCUGGCGGCGUGCAUAAUACAUGCAAGUCUAGCGAACAGAUAAGGAGCUUGCUCCUUUGACGUUAGCGGCGGACGGGUGAGUAACACGUGGAUAACCUAACUAUAAGACUGUGAUAACUUCGGGAAACCGGAGCUAAUACCGGAUAACAUAUUGAACCGCAUGGUUCAAUAGUGAAAGGCGGCUUUGCUGUCACUUAUAGAUGGAUCCGCGCCGUAUUAGCUAGUUGGUAAGGUAACGGCUUACCAAGGCAACGAUACGUAGCCGACCUGAGAGGGUGAUCGGCCACACUGGAACUGAGACGCGGUCCAGACUCCUACGGGAGCCAGCAGUAGUGAAUCUUCCGCAAUGGGCGAAAGCCUGACGGAGCAACGCCGCGUGAGUGAUGAAGGUCUUCGGAUCGUAAAACUCUGUUAUCAGGGAAGAACAAAUGUGUAAGUAACUGUGCACAUCUUGACGGUACCUGAUCAGAAAGCCACGGCUAACUACGUGCCAGCCGCCGCUGUAA